rnacentral:lncRNA from 1 species
UCUCCAGCUCCCACUGACUGAAGUAGAGAAGAUGCCACUGUGUCCUUGGGAUGCUCAGCAAGUAGCUGCACCUGCAUGGAUAAUGCUACUUCAAAUGAUGAGCAGACUCAUUUAUUGCAACAGAACUACUUAUAUGCUUACAGAUAUUAGAGAGAGGCAUGCAAGGAUUGCCUUCUUUUCAAUAUGUCUAAAUAAGAGACCUGAGCUCUUCACUGCUUCUCUCUCUGGCCACCUUGCUGGAAGGGGUAAUGUCUGCAGACAUGAAGUAAGAACAGAUUGCUGAUGAGCUGCCUUGUGCCCUUUAGAUUCAGUUUUCUGUGGAUUUAACUUGCCUGGACUGGAUACAGUUGUUUCUGUGCAGACAAGAUGGUUAUGUGCAAAUUCCCCAUUAGACUUCAAUUAGAAAACCUUUUGAGGAGGCAAGAGUGGAUAUUCCACAGGCUUACUGCCC